rnacentral:sRNA from 1 species
UUGAUUGGUAUUGUUCUACUUCCUAUGGGGCUGCAAACCCACUCAGCUACAUCAGUCAUUUUAUAUAGCCAUAUCAUUAUGGCAUUCAGAGUUAAGAAAGAAGUGUACCAGUGCCCAGCAGAGAGUAUGCCUAAUAAAGAACAUUAAAUAUAAGAGAAUAAGAGGUGCUUUGGAAAAAGUUUUAUCCUCCUACCCCUUAUAGUAAUAAUAGGAGCAAAAGAGAAAAUGCAAGUGGGGCAGAUUUGUCAAUAAAGACUACAAAACACUGUUUUUCCCCACAAUUAUCUUAAUUAAUAUUUGUUAAGUCACUUCAGAGGAGGGAUGAUCCAUUUUAACGUCAAGAGAAAUACAGUCACGAUCAUUAUUAGUGAACUGUAAGGACAGUCUUAGGCUAAGAACAUUAUUAGUGGCUCUAAGAACCUGACAAAACCAAGAAGCUUUAAAAGUUAAUGUCCAUAAUACUGUUACAUUCUGUUUUUCAUCCCUUUAGUCAUAAUAACUCAGGAACUCACAAAAUUGUUUUAAUAGAUGGUAUCAGUAUUAAAAAGGGACUAUAAAGUAUCAAAAAAUAAAGAUGUCAGAGUGCGAACCAUGAAGUCCAAGCAAAUGCAAUUAAGACAAAAGUCUGCUGUCCACUGCUUGCCAUGGAAAUGGUAUGUUUUAAUAUCCUGAGCACUCAAAAAGUACCAGAAAUACACAGUGGAGUGUUACCUUCCUCACACUGGUGUGACAAACACUCCGAGUUCCCAAAUUCCAAAUCAGGGACUCAGUGAUUGCUUGGGCCUACAUUGACUCAAAAAGUAUUUCAAGGAGAAAAGAAAGUUCCUGCCCGUGGAUGGAGAAUGGAUGGAGGGUUUUACAUCUUUUAUUUGACUGCAUAUCCCCAGGAAACACCUGAGCAAUGUUGUUUGACUAUGGUUAUGCCAGCAGUAACAAGCUGAGUGGGUACAUCAAUUAAAUUUUAUGUGCCUUGCUUUUUUUCCCCUCCAUAAAAGAGCAGAUAACAAUUCAUCCUUACUAAUUACCUCCAUGGGAGUCUGAGACAUUUAGAAAAGUCAGUGGAGUAAUAUAGAGAAAUGUUCCAGAGAAAGGUGUAUAUAUGUGUAUACGUGUAUACACUUGAUAAGGAAAUCCAUUGUCUUAAAAAUAAUAAAAUAAAACGGCAGCAUGAUAGAUAACUAGGGGAAAUGUUUUCUAUAAUGUAAGACAAAGCAUAGUUCCUUGAUGUUAUGACAUAUGGAAUACCUGUGUUUUCUUGGCUGGAUUUGUGGGCCAUAAGAGUCUCAGUGAGAAAAUGGAAAAUGUGACGCACUUGAGACAUGAGUUCAAGUUAGCGCAGAUAUAUAACAAUACUAUGGAUGCUGGGUAAAGGCCCAAUAACCUCUGGAAUGGGCUCAUGUUCCAAUAAUCACAACUAUUGCUAAGGCGGUAGGUAGCUUCCAUGAGCAAAUAUUGUAAUUUUUUUUCCUUUCAACUCUUGAAAAGGUAAGACAUGGCAAUGAAAGAUUCAUUUUCCCAUAUGACUAAAGUUCAGAGAGGGGAACUUCCCCCAAGUAUAUAUUUUAUUUAUAUGACCACCUGGUACAAAAAAAAAACAGGUUUGUACUUAAUGUUUCCAAAAAUAAUUAGGAACGCAUUUUCAUCAUUAGUGCCCUCAGGCUAUAAUACCCUGAGGAAGAUGUGCCCCCACUUGAAGGCCUUUAAAGCUACUCUUCUGCCUGGGGCCAGUUAUACUACAGUUUAAAAAAUUGUGAUUUAUAUGUGGUCACUGGUUUUUUUUAUAUGUGUUGUUAAAAUGAAAGUAAGCAGCCAAAUGGUACGAAUGGGAAAAUUCUAUAGUUUCAAGAAAAAGCUCCAAACUCCAAUCCAACCAAUUUAAAGGUUAUUACAAAGGGUUAAUUCCAAACAAUACUGCUAAAAGUUGUGAAGGUGAAAGCUGCAGGUCAGAUAAAUGAAGAUUCAAUUUUGGCCAAUUUUAACUUAAUAUGAGAGCAGCAGAUGGUGUGACUUAUUGAAAGCACUUUUCAAUUUUCUGGGAAAGGUAAUUUCUUAAAUGAAAGGGCUCCUUUAGGCACGCAAACACCACAUUCCAAAGCUGUUAAGAGACCCAACUGCAGUUACAGAGCCAGAAAUGGCAGUAGAGGACAGCUAGAACCCAAGCGAAACGGCUCCUAACUCAUGCUAGACUUGACACGGAUUCCUCACUGAUCUCUGGCUGUUGUAAAUGCGCUGGCAAAAGUGAUCGCCACACAAGCAUGAGGAAGGAUGUGAGUUUACCAGCAGCCAUAUAAGAGUGGUCUGUCGGGGCAGCCUGAAUCCAAGCAGACAGAAGAUAUGGAGAAAGGAAACUGAAUGAGCAAAGGUGGUAUAGAAGUCCUGAUUGAAAUUAAACUAUUUCUACAAUAGACAAAACUUUCAAAUAACAUUUACAAGAACACAGCAAAUAUUCAAAACAAGAAAUACAUCAUAUUGGAGUUUUAAGGGAAACCACAGAGAGCUCUGAUCCAUGGACCUGUACAAAAGCCUGGGCUGACAUAUCAAUUUGAUCUCAUCACCCUGAGAAAACAGAAUCUCGAAUGCUAUCCUCAGAGCUGCCGGCAAAGGUGUGCGAAAAAAUUUUUCCAUUUGUGCCCCCAUGAAGUCUAGUUUUACUCACACGGAAGUGUGGCGUUAUUUCACUUUUUGACUCCUUAACAGAAGCUCAACUCAACGUUCUAAGGGGAGGAGAAAAAAAUCAAGAACAGAACUAUAAACAGAAUGCAUGCCACAGACACGCUGCCCUAGUAAGUGAGGGCCACAUUCAGAAACUCUUUCUCUUCUGGCUCUGGGCGAUUUUCUCUGCCUUUCCAAGUCUGUUCUUCUGUAAAUGAUUGUCUAUUGCAGCUUACCAUGUAAGGAUUUCUCUGAAGAAAGAAGUAAAAACACAUCAAAAGCAACAAUACUUUUUUUUCUCCCUGCUGGAGACACUAUUUGUAGAAAGCGUUUUCCUUUUAUGGCCAUGACCAGAAAGCAAAGGAUUGUGAAGCAGAGCUGUGUAAGCAAAAUACCAACUCACUUCAUUUCACAGAAAUGCAACCUGAAAAGCCCGACAGCAAACUUAGCGACGAGGAAAUUUACUCAAACUCUGCGAGAAUCAGCUUUAAAAGAGCCCUAUUAAAAAUGUCUAAAUCCAAUUAGGGAGACAGAGGUUACAUUGCAUAGAUCAUAGACUUGGCAUCAAGCAGACCUUGGUGAUUUUGAAGUUUCAGCUGUAGCUGUACGGCUGCCUGAAUUUCUCCAUCUGUAAAUGCAUGAUGUUAGCAGACAGACUUUCUUUAGGCAGUUUGGAGACUUCAGUUAAAUGAUACUGCUAUAUCGGAUAAAAAGUAAUCCUGUUAAUUUUUAAAGGAAAUUAAAGUUCUAAUAUGACCCUUGAUUAUGAAUUUGCAAAUUAUGUGAAACUGUUUGUUGAAGGGCCAGCUUCAUUCAUUUUACCAAUAAAACAAUGAAAACAGUGAAGGAAACUAGAGGCAGAUGAAGGAAGAGAAACUCUCAAUAUUUUUAGCUAAUUAGAGAUUUGAAAACACUGGAGUGAGGUCAUAGGGCCAUUUUACAUGUGGAAACUUAACUUAGUGGUUCUGGCAAAAGACAAAGGAAAUAUGAACUGUGUGUUCACUUUCCUACCCAAAGACUAUAUGGUUGCAAACUCAAGUAACAGGGAGAGAAUGGGUCUAAUCUCCUUCAAUAGAGUCCCUGAAGCCUUCCAUCCAACAUGCCAACUUGGACAUAUUGUUUUUCUGAGCAUCAGUUUCUAUAAGUUUGCCAAAUAUUUCUGCUGGAACCUAACUCCAGUGACGUUGGUAUCUGGGCCAAAACUAUUAGAUAUAUUGUAAAGAAUUUAGGUCUGUUCUCUCACUUGUCUCUGUGGUAUUUUCCUACAAAAUUGUUCUUGAAAUAGAAUACCACUGUAGAUCAUAAAAUGUUCCGUGAUUAUUGAUUCCUUUCAACUCUCCUCUCAUAGCAUAGCCAGUAUUCUUGGGGUUUUGUAAGAUUAGCAGGUUGUACUUUAUAUGGUUGAAUCAGGCAUUGUUCAGAUGUUCAAAUUUCAUUCCUGGAGGUCAGUAAACAAUUUGUUAAACAGCACUGCAGUAAUACAGCUUCGGUUGGCCACACACCCAUUUACUGAGGCCAACUCACUACUGAGGAUCACUGGUUCAAAUCUGGAAAAGGCCCACUGCUAUACUGUAAUGCUUAUCAGAAAGUUCUUUGCAAUAGCUUUCUAUGAGCAUCCUGUACUAUAACCUAAUUCCUCUUGAAAUGAUGGACAGUAAACUACUUAAAAUUAUACAAAUGGCGUUAAUGGAUUCUCAUGAGUCAUGUCCAUCAAAACAAGUAUGAAAAUCAACGUUUUACAUAUGCCUUUGAGCAUGCUGACUUCCUAUAUUCUAAAUAUUCUUCCAGGUUUUGCAUGUUUUGUAUCAUUUGUUACCUAAGUUGCCUAAAAAUAUAGGCACACAACUGCUCAUAUGGUAUGACCAAAGUGAGAGCAGUUAUUCAAUCUUCUCUUCCAUAUGCUAUCUUAGUCAGUCAUUCUGAAAUCACAUGUUGUCAUGUGCAACACUUAGUGCUAGCUUAUGUUAAGCUCAUAUAAAAGUUCUGAAAGUAUUUUUUAAUUUAAUUACAGUGCUUUUGAAAUUUAAGCCCCUUCACUGUUUGCUUAAAAAUUCCCUUCCAAAAAAACUGCUCUUACCCACAUUAGACCAUAUUUUGUAAAAUACAAUUCUAAUCCAGGUUGUAAGAAGCUUUUAUAGUAGUUCUCUUUGAGAUAUUUAGCAUUUGAAUAAAGCCAUAGUGUCUUAGCAAGCAGAAAUGUAGAAGAACAUUUCAAAAGGUAAACUUUUUCAUGCACAGGGUAAGAUGGUUGCUUCAAAGGAACACAGAAGCACCUAAAUGUUGUGGACCAACAAAAUGGAGCCAGAGAUAGCCUAGCAGCCAUAUACAUUUGUAUAAGAUGUACAGAAUAUUCUUUCUUUUUUUUUA